CCGAGGAUGUAGCUCAGUGGUAGAGUGUUUGCCUAACCUGCAGGAGGGCCUGGGUUCAAUCCCCAGUACUUGGG